rnacentral:rRNA from 1 species
UACGGAGGGUGCAAGCGUUGUUCGGAAUCACUGGGCGUAAAGCGCGUGUAGGGGGCCCAUCAAGUCUGAUGUGAAAGCCUGGGGCUCACCCCCGGAAGUGCAUUGGAAACUGUUGGGCUCGAGUCCCGGAGAGGAGGGUGGAAUUCCUGGUGUAGCGGUGAAAUGCGCAGAUAUCAGGAGGAACACCGAUUGCGAAGGCAGCUCGCUGGGACGUUACUGACGCUGAGACGCGAAAGCGUGGGGAGCAAACAGG